GGGGCUGACUUGGAUUUGACAGCAGGCCGAGGUGUUGUGUAAGCACGCAGUGAGUCGGUGAUUGCUCACUAUAAUCCAUAGUCACUGAACAUUUAUCUGGCGAAAACACUUACGCUCUCGCUGCCUGAUCGAAGUAUAGUAGAUCCUUGGCUUAAUCUCGGCACCAGGUGCCGCAGACGGGAUGUCACUCUGGAGUUCUGGCUCCGAAACGUCCAGGCAUAGUGGCACAGCAAAAUCGGAGAUAGUCCCUCGCGGCUCCGCACGAUGGAUGAAGACUUAGGAGAUAAGGUGCUGGUUGGUGGCCCGGGUCUUGCCAGCACUCGAAAAUCCAGGCCGGGAUAAGCGUGUAGAAAGCACAGGACGUCCCUGUUUGGACGAGGGUUCAAUCCCCUCCAGCUCCACU
rnacentral:tmRNA from 1 species